CAGUUUCCUUCUCUGCACAAAACCAAACCACAAAUCAUUUCUUCCUUUCUAAAUACCAAGACACCGCCCACCGUUUCAUUUCCUUCUCUGCACACUCCACCGAAACCACUGCAAUUUCUCUCCUCAACCAUACCAUACCUCUUCCUCUGCAUUCGACCAAGAGCAUCCGAGAGGGAGAGCCACUUGGUGAGCUUCAUCCGAGAGCUAGGAGGAGGGAAAGUGAACUGCCAGAAAUUUCUCUGGUCCUGCCGUGAGUUGGAGUGAAGCCGGGGAGGAGAUCUGCAGGAAGCUUCACCAUUUUUCAUCUUCAUCUCCACCAACUACAACCAACCGAACACAAAUCUACCAGCUACACUCAAUUCCAGCCGCAACAUAGGAAACAAGAACCACCGACUGCACUUGGCCGAGAGUUAGGGAAGAAAUUUCUGGAAAAUUUUCGUGUGAAAGUUUAGCUGCUAUCUGAGGAUAUUUCGAGGACGCGGAAUUCGAUUCCCAACUUGAUAUCUGAACUCCACUCUUGGAUGGGAAGUUUGAAAGCAUUUGAGCAGCUUAUAUUUCCUAUGAAUGUACUUGAACAACUUGAAUUUAAAUUUCGGUUUGUAAUGAAUUCUUCGUUAAGCACUGUACCUUUUAUUUUUGGUUGCCACUUGAAGCUGGAAAAGUGUAACUCUAAGUCUGGUAUCCGGCUUGUAUGAACGUAUUUGUGUGGUAUGGCUUUAAUCCUUGUAAGUAACGCACGAAGUGUUUAAGAGCCGUCGAUUGGCUAUCUUAUAAAUGUUGUUAUCUUUGAAGUUAAAUGAGGAUUUAGUUUAUUCUUCGGAA